GAUGAACGCUGGCGUCGUGCCUAAUACAUGCAAGUCGAGCGAACGGACGAGAAGCUUGCUUCUCUGAUGUUAGCGGCGGACGGGUGAGUAACACGUGGAUAACCUACCUAUAAGACUGGGAUAACUUCGGGAAACCGGAUCUAAUACCGGAUGAUAUUUUGAACCGCAUGGUUCAAAAGUGAAAGACGGUCUUGCUGUCACUUAUAGAUGGAUCCGCGCUGCAUUAGCUAGUUGGUAAGGUAACGGCUUACCAAGGCAACGAUGCAUAGCCGACCUGAGAGGGUGAUCGGCCACACUGGAACUGAGACACGGUCCAGACUCCUACGGGAGGCAGCAGUAGGGAAUCUUCCGCAAUGGGCGAAAGCCUGACGGAGCAACGCCGCGUGAGUGAUGAAGGUCUUCGGAUCGUAAAACUCUGUUAUUAGGGAAGAACAUAUGUGUAAGUAACUGUGCACAUCUUGACGGUACCUAAUCAGAAAGCCACGGUUAACUACGUG
rnacentral:rRNA from 1 species